rnacentral:rRNA from 1 species
UACGUAGGGUCCGAGCGUUGUCCGGAGUUACUGGGCGUAAAGGGCGCGUAGGCGGCCACAACAAGUCACUUGUGAAAUCUCCGGGCUUAACCCGGUAGCGGCCAAGUGAUACUGUUGGGCUAGAGUGCGGAAGGGGCAACUGGAAUUCUCGGUGUAGCGGUGAAAUGCGUAGAUAUCGAGAGGAACACCUGCGGCGAAGGCGGGUUGCUGGGCCGACACUGACGCUGAGGCGCGAAAGCCAGGGGAGCAAACGGG